GGGGAAUAUUGGUCAAUGGGCGCGAGCCUGAACCAGCCAAGUAGCGUGAAGGAGGAUGGCCCAAGGGGUUGUAAACUUCUUUUUGAGGGGAAUAAAGGGAGGCCCGUGUGCCUGAUGGUAGGUACCUUAGUAAUAAGAAUCGGUUAACUCCGUGCCAGCAGCCGCGGUAAUACGGAGGAUGCAAGCGUUAUCCGGAUUUAUUGGGUUUAAAGGGAGCGUAGGCGGACUAUUAAGUCAGCUGUGAAAGUUUACGGCUCAACCGUGAAAUUGCAGUUGAAACUGGUCGUCUUGAGUGCAGUAAAGGUGGGCGGAAUUCGUGGUGUAGCGGUGAAAUGCUUAGAUAUCACGAAGAACUCCAAUUGCGAAGGCAGCUCACUGGAGUGUAACUGACGCUGAUGCUCGAAAGUGUGGGUAUCAAACA
rnacentral:rRNA from 1 species